CGAGGAGGCAGGCUCUGCCCGAGCAGCACUGCCCCACCACCGGCAGCGGCAGCCCGCUUCCCAUCCUCGCUGUCAGCACCUGCGCCGCCUCCUUGGUGCACAGCGAGGGUCCUCCUGUCCCGGGCAGGAUGGGCCAGGCCAACUGCUGCUGCGGCUCCAGGGAGGCUCUGAGCGAGGCCGAGGCGGUGCUGAGCGCAGACGUGCGGCUGAGCCGGGGCCGCAAGAGGAGCGAGAGGCGCCUUCUCCUCCUCCCAGAGGAACUGGUCAUCGCCAAGUUGCAAGAUGACCCCAGCCUGCGCCCACAGCUCCGCCUGGCCCUGGACCAGCUGUGGGUGCUGAGCAGCGGGAA